CGUAAAUCGUUUUGUGUGGAUGGCCCCAGAGCAGCGUUACCCAGGUGCCAGGGGUGGGGCAGCCAGCCUUUGGAGGGAGGCCUAGUGUGAGCCGGGACGUCUUCACUGGCUCGUGUUUUCUCCAGUGAAUCUGACCAACUUUGUCCAUGCCUUUCAGGAUCACUUGCUGAGAGCAGAGAAGAGUGAGAGGACCAGUUAUCAGCAUAAAGCAGUCUGCUCUCGCUCCAGAAGGCACUUGUGUGUUCUGCUUACCGACAGGGUCAUGGUCAAGCCCCUGAUAUCUGGAGGUCGCAGGCCUGCUGGCUUUUGUGGCUGCUUGAAAUCCUCCUUUACUGCCUACUUUUUGGGAAGUACAAGUAGAGGGAGAGGAUGAAAGAGAAGCAGGAUCUGCACUGAGCAGGGAGCCAGAUGCAGGGCUGGAUCCCAGGACCCUGGACAGAUGCUGCACUGAGGGAGCCACCCAGACACCCUUUUAGACCUAGGAUGCAGAUGUGUGGAGGGCCAUGGAUGACUUGGAUGCAGUUGGGGUCAUCUCACGGCACAUGGAAUACACAAUUUAUCUUGCUUCCUGUCUUGAUAACGACAUCUUGGUUUUCAUGCUGUCUUAGAACAAGUAGAACUUGACUUACAUAGGUAGAGACUGAUGCAAAGGGAGAAGUUUGGUGGUUCUCCACUGGCCACAGCUAAGUUAGCAAAAAGCAAAAAGCAGAGCCUGCAUUGGAACCAGGCACUGUGGCUCCAGACCCCAACUCUUCACCCUUGGGCUUCUUGCAGCACGCCUACUUCCUUGUCACUAAGAACUUGGUGCAGGAGUUUAACGGUAAGAUCUGAAGGAGUCAAUCUGUUUCUUCUGUGGCUUUAAGCACUUCAGACAAACUUUGCAGAAGAGCAGGUGCUGAUUUUUGCUUGCCUCAUGCCUGGUUUCCCAGCGAUUAUGUCAUCCAGAGGGACCUGCAUGGUGGAGACACUCAUCAGUCCUAGCCCUGGUGUGGCGGAUGACAUCCCCCAUUUGAGACCAGCGCCAGUGUAUGUACAUUACUACCACUCAAGACAAUGAAAACAUUUAUAGUAUAAAAAUUCCAUACAUGGCAAUUCACAUUGUUUUUAUUAAAUGGAUUAUGAAAUUCUUUUUGGAAAAAAAGUAUCUAGCUAUAAUCCAAAACACUCAAAAUCGAAUUGCUGUACUGCCCCAAAUCAUACAGGAAUGAAAAGGACUCGUCAUUCCCCGGAAAAUCUGAAGAAAGAAGCCAGAGCAAGAGUAAGGGAGAAAGAGAGUGAGAGGAGCAUCUGAUGGGAUAGGAUUUCUUACAAAAGGACUCCUGAAAUGACCAGAGAAAACAGACCAACAGAAAAGGGCAGACUUUGACCAAGCGGUGCUCAACGACCUGAAUAUCCACAUGGAACAGAAGAGGUUUUAACGCUAUUCCCUACUGAUGUAGCCUACAUACUAAAGAGGACAUCAGAAGUUUUCUGGAAGAUACAAUAGAAAACCAUUUUGAGGACCUGGGGGAGGUGGCAGAGAUGAGUGGAACAGAACACCAAAAACAGAAAGCCCAAGAAAGCUUGGGUGCCGCUUCCAGUCGGCAACGAGAGAAGAAUUAGGCACGAACCAGUCAGCUGCAAAAGACUGGGAGCAGGGGACAACAGUCGAAAAGGACAGCUGCCAGGAGCAACUCCACAGUCUCACUUUUAUUGGAUAGAAAACAAUAGCCAAUAGAAGGAUUGAGGAAGGUCAAAUGUUAAUCCCACCUUGCUGACAAGCAAGAAGGAGGAUAAAGUUUAUAGUUAAACAAGCACAUUGAAAGAACUCUUCUAACUAACAACGGGCACUUCUGGGAAGAGAAAGGCUUGAUGGCGGAUAAGGGAGGCAGGCGGUUUUCAUUCCACCCUGAGCUGACCUGGCGUUCCCGGGUGCUCCGCUUUCCUGAAGCAGACGGCAUUCCGCCCUGGGCCGGCCGGGCUUCCAGCCAGCGCAGCUUCUGUGAGGGGGCUGCAUUCCGCCAUGAGCAAGCGAGGUAUCCCCCGCUGCCCAGCUUCUGUGAAGGGGCGGUGUUCCGCCCUGAGCGAGCUGGGCAUCCCCAGCUACCCAGCUUCACAGUCAUCUAUCAUCCUUUUCCCCAAAGACCUGUUUCCAGUAUAUGUAUUUCUAGAGGUCAUAUGUAAAUGUGCUUGGUAACUAGUAAAAUCCUCCAGGGGUUACAGUUUAAGUAACAAAUUGUUCCGAGGGGCACCAGCAGUUGGGAAGUUGGACUCUACUCAUUCCAAGGUUCCAAACAAAAAAAUAUUGCCCAACAAAUGACAAUACUAAAACUAUUAAAGGCUCUAUGGAGAUACCAGAUAAGGAACUGUAUACAACUCUAAAUAGGAGAACUAGGAAUCAAGAAGGAUAGAUAGGUAACUUCAAAACAAUGAAAAUCCUAGAGCAGAAAUAUCCCAAGGAGAAAACCAUCAGCCAAGAAACAUGAAAAGAUUCCUGAAAUCCUCAGUGAUCACAAAAGAGCAAAGGAAAGCACAAUGUGUUAGUGUUAACCCAAGGAGGCAGACCCCAAAGAGUGUUGCUUAAUCCAAUGGAUUGAAUCAUGAAAAACGGA